UAACAGGCUGAUACCGCCCAAGAGUUCAUAUCGACGGCGGUGUUUGGCACCUCGAUGUCGGCUCAUCACAUCCUGGGGCUGAAGUAGGUCCCAAGGGUAUGGCUGUUCGCCAUUUAAAGUGGUACGCGAGCUGGGUUUAGAACGUCGUGAGACAGUUCGGUCCCUAUCUGCCGUGGGCGCUGGAGAAUUGAGGGGGGCUGCUCCUAGUACGAGAGGACCGGAGUGGACGCAUCACUGGGGUUCGGGUUGUCAUGCCAAUGGCACUGCCCGGUAGCUAAAUGCGGAAGAGAUAAGUGCUGAAAGCAUCUAAGCACGAAACUUGCCCCGAGAUGAGUUCUCCCUGAGACUAUAAGUCUCCUGAAGGAACGUUAAAGACGAUGACGUUGAUAGGCCGGGUGUGUAAGCGCAGCGAUGCGUUGAGCUAACCGGUACUAAUGAACCGUGAGGCUUAACCUUACAACGCCGAAG
rnacentral:rRNA from 1 species